rnacentral:rRNA from 1 species
AACGAACGCUGGCGGCAUGCCUAAUACAUGCGAGUCGAACGAUCCCUUCGGGGAUAGUGGCGCACGGGUGCGUAACGCGUGGGAAUCUGCCCUUGGGUUCGGAAUAACGUUUGGAAACGAACGCUAAUACCGGAUGAUGACGAAAGUCCAAAGAUUUAUCGCCCAAGGAUGAGCCCGCGUAGGAUUAGCUAGUUGGUAAGGUAAAGGCUUACCAAGGCGACGAUCCUUAGCUGGUCUGAGAGGAUGAUCAGCCACACUGGGACAGAGACACGGCCCAGACUCCUACGGGAGGCAGCAGUAGGGAAUAUUGGACAAUGGGGGCAACCCUGAUCCAGCAAUGCCGCGUGAGUGAUGAAGGCCUUAGGGUUGUAAAGCUCUUUUACCCGGAAUGAUAAUGACAGUACCGGGAGAAUAAGCCCCGGCUAACUCCGUGCCAGCCGCCGCCGUAACAC